rnacentral:lncRNA from 1 species
UUCUAAGAAAUAGCUUCUGUUUACCUGUUAUGGUUAUCCGUGUAUUCCCAAUUCCUCCUUUGGAUUUGAGUUUCUCCAGCAGCUGCCCCAAAUAAGUGUUGUUUCUGGAAAAGAAAGAAAAAUGCAGCGUUUAGGAGGAGGCCUCAUUCUGAUCUUCACCACCUCUCUGCACUUAGGGAAUGAACUACAGGUGGGAAGUAGCUUUCAUAAGUCGAUGCACCUGAGUCAGUUUGAGCUUGGCCGCAUUUCCCUUCUAGUCCUGAGUGAGGUCACAGGAAAGAAAAGGAGCCUUUUGAUGAGAGGAACUGGGGUGUUUGAGGGCAGCCAGCAGAUAGUGGGAACACACAAAACUUUUGGCAAGAAGACAGCUGUCUGUGCACCAUGCCUGUGCUGCACCUCACAUCAGCAGGCACUAGAUUCAGAGACUGAGGACCCCUGGGAGAUUUUCUCUGGAAUAAGCACACCAAGGGGAGAGGAUCUGAAGUGACCAGAUUCCUUCUACCAAGGAGACUUUCCAGGUCAGAUGUGACUACUUUCACUGCUGAGCCCUGAAACCCUGGAUACACAUUCCUCUAGCAGCAUUCGCCUCAAAGAAAAUCUUUCCCUGUGAUUUUUUUUGUUUGUUUCAGACUGAAAGAUGGGGAAGGGAAUUUUCAGAUAUUGAGUGCCCAUGAUAUGCCAAGAGUGUUUCCCAGGUGGCGCUAGUGGUAAAGAAUUCACCUGCCAGUACAAGAGACAUGAGACCUGGGUUCGAUCCUUGGGUCAGGAAGAUCCCCUGGAGGAGGGCAUGGCAACCCUCUCUAGUAUUCUUGCCUGGAGAAUCCCACGGACAGAGGAGCUUGGCAAGCUAGGGUCCAUGGUGUUGUGCAGGGUCGGACGCGACUGAAGCGACUUAUUACAUAGCACAAUGUGCCAAGAACUGUGUGAGAUGUUUCAAAUAUAUCACCUCCAUGCAUAUUUCUGUUAAAACAUUUUUGUGAAAAACUUUGGAAUGGGGGGAAAACAACAAAAAUACAAACUGUUGGGUAUUCUCUUCAGUGCAACCUGCCAGGUUAUCUGAUGCUGUUGAGGCCUGUGUAUGUUAUCGUCUUUGAGCCAUUUAUAACCGUGCAAGUUCGACAACACUGAUAGUAAUGAAAGAAUUCUUAUCCUUAGAAAUGCAAAUGAAAUGUUUGGCAGCCAUGCAGCUCAUUAUUACCCAAUGGUUAUUGACCAGUUUUGCAAAUAUUUGUAAAUCUAUUCCAGUAUUCCCGAUUGCUCACAUAUAUGUGUUCUUUGAAUUCUUCCCUCAACUGGUUCUCAUAUCUUGCUGGUUCUCUCAUUAACCAAUGAGUUCAAUAAAUU